GGGGGAAGUCAGCUGCUAUGUCUUGAAGAGAGGCCUCCAACUUACAAUUAUGAGGAACUGAGACAUCCUGCCAACAGCCACGGAAGUGAGCCUGGAAGCAAACCCUUUAACUCUUAUAGUCUCUGGAUGACUGCAGCCCAGGAUGACACCCUGACUACAACCUCACAAGAACCACCCAAUUAAUCUGCUUCCGAAUUCCUGACCCACAGAAAAUAUGAGCUAAUAAAUCUCCCCACCCCACGCCAGAAGAUGAAAACUUCAGUGGACCAAAGAUAAUAUUAGUUUGAAGAUGGGAGAACCAAUCUCCAGGUUGAUGAAGGAAGAUUAUCACUG